rnacentral:other from 1 species
CUGUCUCUAGGAUGUUCGCCAGCGGGUCCGAUUCCCCUGAGCCGAUAUCAUCACUUUAGGAUGGUGUUCUGUAUAUUUAGAGUGUAUGUCUGCCCCGUGCAGAAAACCCAGCAAGUAUGCGGCGCCCUCCACCUUGAACUUUAGGGUUCAAGGGUAACGACAUGCAGCGGCAUCUCUGGAGUACUU